UUUGACCUCGGAUCAAGUAGGGAUACCCGCUGAACUUAAGCAUAUCAAUAAG
rnacentral:rRNA from 1 species